GGGCUUGUACUGGUUUCGACAGGGAUCUUGAAGAUGGAGAAGCUAUCCGCAGGCUGAUGCGUCAAAUCGCAAACUUAAAAUUAAACGCUAACGACAAUUACGAAUUAGCUGCAGCCUAAUUGCUGCAUGUCAGCCCCGGGGCACUCACACUUCGGGAAUCUGGCAUCAAACAUGUGAGAAACGAUGACGGCAAAGCUUUGAGCCGUCAGGCGUAUCAUGAAGCUACUGAACCCGUGAGGAUGUUCGUUUCCGCACGGCAGAGGGAAUGAAAAAGAACGGACUAUGAUAGUAGAAGUACAUGGGAUAGGUUUUUGGACGCGGGUUCGAUUCCCGCCAGGUCCACUU
rfam:Lachnoclostridium sp. An169 An169_contig_2, whole genome shotgun sequence.